UAAGUGUCCAAUUUUUGUUUUUCGCAGGUUGGGUUUACAUGGAUUCUGCAUUCUGUCGCUCGUGGCAGAGAUUCUGUGUGAACUGAAACUUCAUUUCCUCGCUCGUAUCUAUUCUAGGGUUUUGGGGCGAGCGUAGGCACGAGCUCUUGAGGCGUAGGACUCGGAAGUUAAAUUGGUAUAAAAUGCUGCAAUUGUGUAGACACGAGAUGUUUUGAAGACUUUUCUCUGUUUAAGCGCACGAUUCUCAUCCGCGAUGUUGACCUCUAAGGCUCAACUGGGACGUCUACAAGCAGUUGAAGAUGAUGGCAGCACCUUGAAAAGCGGUGUAUUGCCAAUUGCUCUAUUUGAGGGUCCCAAUUCCAUUGGCCGAGACGAUUUGGUAUCUGCGAACAAGCAAGUGAGCCGCAAGCAUGUGGUCCUCAAGACUUCUUCGGAUUGUACUUUUGAACUAUCAGUGAUUGGGCAGAAUCCUGUGGUGAUCAAAUCUGGAUCAGGGAAAAGAAAGCUGUUACCAAAUGCAAGAGCUUUGAUAUCUGCUGGAGACAUCAUUGAAUUCUUGCCUGGAAAAAUGCCUUACAAAUUAACUUUAGAACCGACUGAAGACGAGUUGGUCCAUCAUUCAAGCCGUGAUGUGCAGAGUAGGAGGAGCUCGCAAGCUGCUCAUUGCGAAGAAUCAGGCGCAAGGUCGUUGUCACUUCUCUUGCAAGAAUGUAAACCCUCUGAAACUAAAAAAAAACGGGAACUCGAGACAAUUAUUAUCGAUUCCGAUGAGGAUGAGCAAGUAUCAAAGAAACAAAAACAGCAGCUGAUCGAGGACGAGGCUUUUGCUCAAGCUGUACAGGCUGAAGAAGACGGGGCUGCUAGGGCUUCAAUAAGAGGAAAUGUAUCGUUAUUGAAUGAACAGCACAUAGGUACAUCCUCCUCGUCUAAGAGUCCAAGGGCCGCUAACAAAUUGGACGAAGCGUUUGGAGUAGACUACGAAGCCGGGUGCAGAUCAAGCUCUACGUUCCGGUUGAUGCAGGUGAAAGGCUUGCCACAGUGGGCAAAUAAAGGGUGUGUGAACAUAAGAGGUGUCAUCCAGGGCGACGUGCAGGUAGCCUUACUGUCCAACUACAUGGUAGAUAUUGACUGGCUACUUGAAGCUUGCCCACGCCUAAAAACGGUUCCUUCAGUGGUCAUCUUUCAUGGAGAAAGUGGAGGUUCGCUUGAGCUCCUCCAGGCCAGGAAGCCUAAUUCGUGGUUGCUCCACAAGCCACCUCUUAGAUUGAGCUACGGCACACACCAUACAAAAGCCAUGUUUCUGCUUUACCCAACUGGUAUACGUAUUGUCGUGCACACUGCGAAUCUGAUCUAUAUUGACUGGAAUAACAAAUCCCAAGGCCUUUGGACGCAAGACUUUCCAUACAAAAACGUAGCUGCUGGCGAAUCCAAGCCAUCUCCAUUUGAGAAUGAUUUGGUGGAGUAUCUGCAAGCUCUUGAGUGGACAGGGUGCAUUGCAAUUAUUUCUGGAAUUGGUGAAGUUCAUGUUGACGCUGCUUUCUUUCGCAAGUUCGACUACAGUAGUGCCAUGGUCCGACUGGUUGCUUCAGUCCCGGGAUAUCAUCUCGGUCGAAAUCUGACAAAAUGGGGUCACUUGAAGCUUCGGACCAUUUUGCAAGAGCAGCAUUUUGAAGAACAUUUCAAAGGAUCUCCCUGUGUAUAUCAGUUCUCAUCUUUAGGUUCUUUGGAUGAGAAGUGGAUGGGUGAAUUUGGCUCUUCAAUUCAAGCAGGAUCGACAUUUGGAAAUGAGCAACUUGGUCCUGGCCCAGUUCAAAUCGUCUGGCCUACUGUGGAGGACAUUCGAAAUUCCCUCGAGGGUUAUGCUGCAGGCGGUGCAGUUCCAAGUCCGCUAAAAAAUGUUGAACGAGCUUUUCUAUCUAAAUAUUGGUAUCGGUGGCAAGCUGAUCAUACAGGUCGAAGCCGUGCUAUUCCCCACAUAAAAACGUUUUUGCGAUACAAUGACCAAAGACUUGCAUGGUUUUUGCUGACAUCAUCAAAUCUAAGCAAGGCUGCAUGGGGAGUAUUGCAGAAGAAUGGUUCACAGCUCAUGAUCAGAUCCUAUGAGGUCUCUACUCUUAUGACUGCUUCGUUGCUGCAAUCAAUUUAUUCCGCAGAAAGCUUCACGAGUAGUCUAAUAACGCUCUCAUCUAGGUGUUCUGUUCUUGCCUUCGCUUGUUGGAAACAACUCAAAUGUCACUCCCUUUUCAUGCACUUACAGCUCCUCUAUCUUGCCCAGAGAAUUGCAGAACAGGGAGGACGAUGGAGGUAAAAGACAACUACGCCACACAAAGCUCGUCACACUGAGCUGGAAAAGCAGCAACCAUGAAAAAUCAGACAUGGACAUUUUUGUACGCUUGCCUAUACCAUAUGCAUUACCACCAGUGAAAUAUGACCCCAAAGACAUACCAUGGUCGUGGGAUCGGCAAUACAGAGAGCCAGAUAUGUUUGGUGAGGUUUGGCCUAGACAAGUACGUCGUUACACCAUGCAAAGCUAAUGACUGGUACAGCAUACUUUCAUGAUCUUAUCAGAAUAUCCUGGCACUCCCCUUAAACGUUGAAAGAAACUUAUGCCUAAGGUACUUUUUUUUUUUUUUUUUUUUUUUUUUUUUUGUCAAAUUGGGAAAAUUAGUAAUGAACUUAAAUCCUAAAUGAAUCUAUUGAAUGCAGCUCCAGGACUUACACUACGGGAUUUAAGUUCCCUUAGAGACACAAUUGCCCUAGAUUUUCAUACUACGGUGUAAGAAUGGAUGAGAUCCAUUUUCUCUUUUGUCAAUCACAUUGGCUGAACAUUUGCUGUGAAGAAGGUCCAGACUUUGCACCAUCAAUAUAGGCUUGCAUGUUUUUAUUGAGCACUUGACGAAUGUACUUCGAUCGGUAAUUAAGAGAAACUUCUUGAUAGUUGGAUACAAGCUUUAAUGGGAGGACUGUUAGGUAGACACCUCCCUUUUAUUGCAUGGACACUCAUAUGCUAUGUACCUCUAAAUACACAUAGUAAUUUCUUUUA